rnacentral:rRNA from 1 species
AUUGAACGCUGGCGGCAGGCCUAACACAUGCAAGUCGAGCGAGCGGCGGACGGGUGAGUAAUGUCUGGGGAACUGCCUGAUGGAGGGGGAUAACUACUGGAAACGGUGGCUAAUACCGCAUACCAUCGGAUGUGCCCAUAUGGGAUUAGCUAGUGGGUGGGGUAAAGGCUCACCUAGGCGACGAUCCCUAGCUGGUCUGAGAGGAUGACCAGCCACACUGGAACUGAGACACGGCCCAGACUCCUACGGGAGGCAGCAGUGGGGAAUAUUGCGCAAUGGGGGCAAGCCUGACACAGCCAGGCCGCGUGAGUGAAGAAGGCCUUCGGGUUGUAAAGCACUUUCAGUGGGGAGGCGUUACCCACAGAAGAAGCACCGGCUAACUCCGUGCCAGCAGCCGCGGUAAUAC